UACAGAGGGGGCAAGCGUUAUUCGGAAUUAUUGGGCGUAAAGGGCGCGUAGGCGGCUUGGCAAGUGGAUGGUGAAAUCCCUCGGCUUAACCGAGGAACUGCCAUCCAGACUGCUUUGCUUGAGGCCGGGAGAGGUGAGUGGAAUUCCCAGUGUAGCGGUGAAAUGCGUAGAUAUUGGGAGGAACACCAGUGGCGAAGGCGGCUCACUGGACCGGUUCUGACGCUGAGGAGCGAAAGCCAGGGGAGCAAACGGG
rnacentral:rRNA from 1 species